rnacentral:lncRNA from 1 species
GACCUGUGUAACAAUUAACUGAGGGAGUCCCUCCUCCCUGCACCCUGCCCUGGGGACCAUCAGCCUCAGGGCCACCCCUUUGUGAUCCCUGCUGCAGGGGCUGAGCUGAGAUGGCUGCGACCUCCCGUCCCGGCCCAGGCCCCGUGCCACUCUGGACACAGGGGGAACUCACAAAUACAACUGGAAUAUCUUAAGAAGGGUGCGCCCACCCAGUGCCUCACACCUGUAAUCCCACUACAUUGAGAGGCCAACGCGGGCAGAUCCUUGAGCCUAACCUGGGCAACUUAGUCAAGCCCUACCUCUACAAAAAUAGAAAAAUUAGCCAGGCGCGGCGGGCACCUGCAGGCCCAGCUACUAGGGUGUGCUGAAGUGGGAGGAUCACUUGAGCCCAGGAGUUUGAGGCUGCAGCCAGUUAUGGCCGCACCACCGCACUCCAGCCUGGGUGACAGAGGAAGACCCUGUCUCAAAGGAAAUAAAAAAAAUUAGAAAUACAAAGAGUUACCAAGGCUGGGUACAGUGUCUCACGCCUGUAAUCCCAGCACUCUGGGAGGCUAAGGCGGGAGAAUCGCUUGAGGCCAGGAGUUCCAGACCAACCUCCUCCCGUCUCUAAAAUAAAAAAUGUAAAACUUAGCUGAGCAUGGUGGCCUGCACCUGUAGUCUCAGCUACUCAAAGAGACUGAGGUGAGAGGAUCGCUUGAGCCCAGGAGUUCGAGGCUGCAGCGAGCUACGACUGCACCACUGCAUGCACCACCGCACUCCAGCCUGGGCAACAGAACAAGACCUUGUCUCUCAAAGCAAAUUUGAGAGUCACCUUUUGUGCUCUCAGAGUACACAUGAGGCUCCGUGCUCGGCAAUUUCACAGAUCGCAUUUCCUUUUCUUAACACCCCGUGAAAUGGUGCCGGUCUCAUUGUGCCCAGGAAAGUCAAGGUCACGCAGCAGGUCUGACCUGGGAUUUGAAGCCGGGUCUGCCUCGCCCCCAGCUUAUCCUGCCUCGCCCAGGCUCUUGGCCCCUGAGGACCCACAAGCAGCCAUGGGAGCACACAGGGACAGGGAAGGUGUGCAGAGGCCACAUGCCCGUGGUCCACCUGCAAACCGGGACGCUCUCACGUGGGGAUGCCCGGGAGCGUUGAUGACUCAGGCUCCAGGCUCUCCUGUCCUCAACCUUGGUCCCUCGGCUGAUUAGAUAGUGGGCCCUGCCCGGGCGAAGGGGGACCCCGCCCCAGCUGACACGGGAGCAGCCAUGGCCCAGACGAGUGGUAGGAAGGCCCGGCGUCAUCGCACAGGUGUUUAUGGAGCGCCUGCUGAGUCGCUGUCACUUCCUCUCUUCCGGAGGUCUGCGGAUGACCGCUGAGCAGACCGGCCACUCAGCAGGAUGGGGCUCACACAUCCCAGCCCCAGGAUGGCCACAGGUCUGCUUGAACCAGCCAGGCAGGCAUCUAUUAAACUCUGACUGUGUAUCCCGUCUUGUGCAGGGCUUGGAAGAGAAGGAGGCCUUGGUGCUGUCUGGGAGCUCUCGAUCUGAUUAGGAAGUCAGGACCACCCCCCAGAGACAAGCAAACCCAGCAGCCGAGGCGGGGGCUGGAGAAGAUUUGGAGUUUGCUGACGGCUUGGCUGAGGCUGAGCCGGGCAGGCUCUGCGUAUGUGAAAGUCGCCAGCGUCCAACCCCCGGAACCUGCCGGCUGGGAAGGAGAAAGCCGUCCGCUGCGACCGGGCAGCUCAGGGUUUGCAGAAAGGGCUCCGGCGCGCGUAAGUUCUGUCUACACGACCGCCAAAGCGUCCGGAACCCGGAUUCAG